rnacentral:rRNA from 1 species
UACGUAGGGUGCAAGCGUUGUCCGGAAUUACUGGGCGUAAAGGGCGCGUAGGCGGUUCUUUAAGUCCUGUGUGAAAUCCCCCGGCUCAACUUGGGAACUGCACAGGAAACUGGCGGGCUUGAGUGCGGGAGAGGGAAGCGGAAUUCCGGGUGUAGCGGUGAAAUGCGUAGAUAUCCGGAGGAACACCGGUGGCGAAGGCGGCUUCCUGGACCGACACUGACGCUGAGGCGCGAAAGCUAGGGGAGCAAACGGG